rnacentral:rRNA from 1 species
GUUGAACGCUGGCGGCAGGCCUAAUACAUGCAAGUCGAGCGGACGAAGGGAGCUCGUUCCUGUAUUCAGCGGCGGACGGGUGAGUAAUGACCAGGAAUCUGCCUGGUAGAUGGGGAUAACGUCCGUAAAGGGGAGCUAAUACAGCACACGUCCAUAGGUAGAAAGGGAGGGAUCAUUGGACCUCACGCUAUUUGAUGUCCCUAUGUCGGAUUAGCUAGUUGGUGGGGUAAAGGCGUACCAAGGCGACGAUCCGUAACUGAUCUGAGAGGAUGAUCAGUCACACUGGAACUGAGACACGGUCCAGACUCCUACGGGAGGCAGCAGUAGGGAAUAUUGGGCAAUGGGCGAAAGCCUGAUCCAGCCAUGCCGCGUGUGUGAUGAAGGUCUUCGGAUUGUAAAGCACUUUUAGUUGGGAAGAAGAGCAGUAUAUUAAUACCUUGCUGUUUUGACGUUACCUACAGAAUAAGCACCGGCUAACUUCGUG